rnacentral:rRNA from 1 species
AAUACUGUUUGAUCCUGGCUCAGGACGAACGCUGGCGGCGUGCCUAACACAUGCAAGUCGAACGGACCCGCAAGGGUCAGUGGCAAACGGGUGCGUAACACGUGAGGAACCUGUCCAACGGCGGGGGAUAGCCGGCCCAACGGCCGGGUAAUACCGCGUACGACCUUCGAGGGGCAUCCCUUGGAGGUGAAAGCAGCAAUGCGCCGAUGGAGGGCCUCGCGGCCUAUCAGCUAGUUGGUGAGGUCACGGCUCACCAAGGCUACGACGGGUAGCUGGUCCGAGAGGAUGACCAGCCACAUUGGGACUGAGACACGGCCCAGACUCCUACGGGAGGCAGCAGUGGGGAAUAUUGCGCAAUGGGCGAAAGCCUGACGCAGCGACGCCGCGUGUGGGAUGAAGGUCUUCGGAUUGUAAACCACUGUCGGGAGGGACGAAGCUCUGACGGUACCUCCAAAGGAAGCACCGGCUAACUCUGUGCCAGCAGCCGCGGUAAUACAGAGGGUGCAAGCGUUGUCCGGAAUCACUGGGCGUAAAGGGCGCGUAGGCGGCCCGGUAAGUAGGGGGUGAAAUUCUGCGGCUCAACCGCAGGACGGCCUCCUAAACUGCCGGGCUUGAGCACGGUAGAGGCUGGUGGAAUUCC